rnacentral:misc_RNA from 1 species
AAAUACAACUAUAGACAUAGACAUAGAUAUACACAGACAGAUGUAAACAUAGACAGAUAGACACAGACAUAGACAUAAACAUAUACAAAUACAGACAAUAGACAUAAACACAUAUAUAUACUAAUAUAGAUAUAUCGACAAACAAAUAGAUAUAGAUACAAACAUAUAUAGACAUAGACAACAAAUAAAGACAUAAAUACAAACACAAAUAUAGGUGUAAACACAGGCAUA